rnacentral:rRNA from 1 species
GGAUUGGCCAGUGGUCUAACCGAAAGGUCAGUACUGCUUGGUCGGUCCUUCUCCUUCUGGGGAACUACUGUUGCCCUUAACUGGGUGCGGUAGGGAUCCAGGACUUUUACUGUGAAAAAAUUAGAGUGUUUAAAGCAGGCAUUUGCUUGAAUAUAUUAGCAUGGAAUAAUAGAAUAGGACUUUGGUUCUAUUUUGUUGGUUUCUAGGACCGAAGUA